AGAGAGGGGAAAGAGGGAAGGGAAAGAAGGGAGGGAAGGGGAAAGGACUCUGCCAGCACCACAGGAUUUAGUUCCCAAGUCAGAGGAAGGAAUUGAAAGAGAUUGGCCAGAGCUCAGGGAAAAGAAACCCUUCUAGUUUUUCCUCAUUCAAUAAUACUGUAUUUGUUGCCAGAGUAAUUCCCUAAAACAUCUCUCACAGGUUUCCCUGCUCAAUGCCCAAUUUAUCUGGUCUUCUUUUUUAAAUAUGAUAAGAGUGAAAAACACUAAAUUCACUCAGACUUGGGUUUUCAGUUUUCUAUCUAACCCACACUAUAAUUAGCUUUUUUACUGUAGACAAUUUGCUUAAUUUCAUGUCUCUUCUCUAAAGCAUUUUGCAAACCUUAAAGAACUAUAAAAUGUACUCAUCACUAGAUCCCACUGAAAUUGUUUACAAUCUCUCCUCCUGUUAACAAUCCUUCCAUACCAGGCCCAGUCUUCAUGGUUCCCUGCAGAGGUCAUAUUCAUUGCUACUUUGGCUCCUGCGACAUCUUUGUCUGGAUGAUUAUAUCUCAGUUUCAUCUAUGAAAAGCUACCACCCUUUGAAGGCCUAGAUCAAAGUCUCACUGCUUGUAUAGGACCAGCAUUCUUUUCUACAUAAUAGGGCAUAUGGUAUGAGACCACCAACUUUCACCCUUAACUCUACCAGGAAUUGGCCAAGAUUCCUCACCUCAGCAAGACUGGUCAUCUAGAGCUCCCCACAAAAUGACUGAAUGCACCAGCUUCUUCUCAGCUCUAGCUCUGUCAAAAGCUUUGGUGAAAGUUGGAUCAACUUUCCUUCAAGUCCAAAGGCAUCGUUCCAUCAUAUCUAUCUCCAGGAAUCUUUGCUGCUCACCUCAAGUAUCAUCUCUUCUGUGGCAUCUUCCCCAGACCCAUCAGUAGUCAAUAUUCCCUCCCCUCUCAAAUGAUCUGUAUUUACUUAUUUGUGAAUAAUUUACAUCUUCCAAUGCAACAUUAGCUUCUUGAAGGCAAGGACUGCUUCGUUUUUGUCUCUGGAUCUCCAGUACCUAGCCCAAAGCCUUCCACAUAGUAGGCACUCAAAAAGUAGGCUGAAUUGAAUUGAACCCUAAGAACCUCAACUCCUCACACUCAAUCUCUUCCUAUA